rnacentral:misc_RNA from 1 species
UGAGUUCGAAGCCCGACUAGU